CACGAAGGGGGCUAGCGUUGCCCGGAAUCACUGGGCGUAAAGGGUGCGUAGGCGGGGCUUUAAGUCAGGGGUGAAAUCCUGGAGCUCAACUCCAGAACUGCCUUUGAUACUGAGGAUCUUGAGUUCGGGAGAGGUGAGUGGAACUGCGAGUGUAGAGGUGAAAUUCGUAGAUAUUCGCAAGAACACCAGUGGCGAAGGCGGCUCACUGGCCCGAUACUGACGCUGAGGCACGAAAGCGUGGGGAGCAAACAGG
rnacentral:rRNA from 1 species